rnacentral:rRNA from 1 species
CUCGUAGACUCCUACGGGAGGCAGCAGUGGGAAUAUUGCACAAUGGGGGAAACCCUGAUGCAGCCAUGCCGCGUGUGUGAAGAAGGGUUUCGGCUCGUAAAGCUCUGUUGUUAAAGAAGAACACGUAUGAGAGUAACUGUUCAUACGUUGACGGUAUUUAACCAGAAAGUCACGGCUAACUACGUGCCAGCAGCCGCGGUAAUACGUAGGUGGCAAGCGUUAUCCGGAUUUAUUGGGCGUAAAGAGAGUGCAGGCGGUUUUCUAAGUCUGAUGUGAAAGCCUUCGGCUUAACCGGAGAAGUGCAUCGGAAACUGGAUAACUUGAGUGCAGAAGAGGGUAGUGGAACUCCAUGUGUAGCGGUGGAAUGCGUAGAUAUAUGGAAGAACACCAGUGGCGAAGGCGGCUACCUGGUCUGCAACUGACGCUGAGACUCGAAAGCAUGGGUAGCGAACAGGAUUAGAUACCCUGGUAG